CAGUAGCCGCGGUAACACGUAGGUGGCAAGCGUUGUCCGGAAUUAUUGGGCGUAAAGGGCUCGCAGGCGGUUUCUUAAGUCUGAUGUGAAAGCCCCCGGCUCAACCGGGGAGGGUCAUUGGAAACUGGGAAACUUGAGUGCAGAAGAGGAGAGUGGAAUUCCACGUGUAGCGGUGAAAUGCGUAGAGAUGUGGAGGAACACCAGUGGCGAAGGCGACUCUCUGGUCUGUAACUGACGCUGAGGAGCGAAAGCGUGGGGAUCAAACAGGAUUAGAUACCCGAGUAGUCCCUGUCUCUUAUAC
rnacentral:rRNA from 1 species